rnacentral:ribozyme from 1 species
UGCUACUGCUGCUGCUGCUACUACUAUUCUUGUUGUUGAUGAUGUUGCUACUGCUGAUGAUGAUAUUCCUAGUGGAGGUGUUACUGUUACAGUUGCUGUGG